UUCCCUUUUCUUUUCUUUUUCAUUGAGCUCAUCUUCAUGCUUUUCUUCUUUNCUUUUCUUUUUCUCAUGAAUUUUUCUCUUUUCACAACAAUUGAGCUCAAUGCCUUUCACUUGCUUUUUCAAUUUUCCCCCGUACAACCCCAAACUUGAACCUUUUCAUCACAUACACUUAAGCUCAUCCCAACUCAAGGUAAAGANUUUCAAAACAAGGGUUCACAUACUGUUUAAGGCUAAGGUUCAAAAAGGA
rnacentral:lncRNA from 1 species